rnacentral:rRNA from 1 species
GACGAACGCUGGCGGCGUGCCUAAUACAUGCAAGUCGAACGAAGCUGUUUUAACUGGUGCUUGCACCGACUUAAACAACUGAGUGGCGAACGGGUGAGUAACACGUGGGUAACCUGCCCCAAAGCGGGGGAUAACAUUUGGAAACAGAUGCUAAUACCGCAUAACCACAGAAACCACAUGGUUUCUGUGUCAAAGAUGGUUUCGGCUAUCACUUUGGGAUGGGCCCGCGGCGUAUUACCUAGUUGGUAAGGGAAUGGCUUACCAAGGCAAUGAUACGUAGCCGAACUGAGAGGUUGAUCGGCCACAUUGGGACUGAGACACGGCCCAAACUCCUACGGGAGGCAGCAGUAGGGAAUCUUCCACAAUGGACGAAAGUCUGAUGGAGCAACGCAGCGUGAGUGAAGAAGGUUUUCGGAUCGUAAAACUCUGUUGUCAGAGAAGAACGUGUGCGAGAGUAACUGUUCGUGCAGUGACGGUAUCUGGCCAGAAAGCCACGGCUAACUACGUGCCAGCCGCCGCCGUAA